rnacentral:miRNA from 1 species
GUGUGGUGUGUGUGUGUGUGUGUGUGUGUGUGUGUGUGUGUGUGUACACACGCACACAGACACACUUGCACGUGC